rnacentral:tRNA from 1 species
UCCCCCGUAGCUCAACUGGCAGAGCAUUCGACUGUUAAUCGAAGGGUUGUUGGUUCGAGUCCAACCGGGGGAGCCA